CCCAGAGUGCCCUGUAGCAGCACAUCAUGGUUUGUAAGUUCUAAGGGCAAAUUCCAAAUUAUGAUGUGCUGUCACUGGGAGCCUGGGAGUUU
ensembl:miRNA